rnacentral:rRNA from 1 species
GCUCAACCGGGGAGGGUCAUUGGAAACUGGGAAACUUGAGUGCAGAAGAGGAGAGUGGAAUUCCGCGUGUAGCGGUGAAAUGCGUAGAGAUGUGGAGGAACACCAGUGGCGAAGGCGACUCUCUGGUCUGUAACUGACGCUGAGGAGCGAAAGCGUGGGGAGCGAACAGGAUUAGAUACCCUGGUAGUCCACGCCGUAAACGAUGAGUGCUAAGUGUUAGGGGGUUUCCGCCCCUUAGUGCUGCAGCUAACGCAUUAAGCACUCCGCCUGGGGAGUACGGUCGCAAGACUGAAACUCAAAGGAAUUGACGGGGGCCCGCACAAGCGGUGGAGCAUGUGGUUUAAUUCGAAGCAACGCGAAGAACCUUACCAGGUCUUGACAUCCUCUGACAACCCUAGAGAUAGGGCUUUCCCUUCGGGGACAGAGUGACAGGUGGUGCAUGGUUGUCGUCAGCUCGUGUCGUGAGAUGUUGGGUUAAGUCCCGCAACGAGCGCAACCCUUGAUCUUAGUUGCCAGCAUUCAGUUGGGCACUCUAAGGUGACUGCCGGUGACAAACCGGAGGAAGGUGGGGAUGACGUCAAAUCAUCAUGCCCCUUAUGACCUGGGCUACACACGUGCUACAAUGGACAGAACAAAG